rnacentral:rRNA from 1 species
GACAAACGCUGGCGGCGUGCGUAAACAUGCAAGUCGCACGGAGCUUCGGCUCAGUGGCAGACGGCUGAGUAACGCGUAGGGAUCUACCGCUCGGUGGGAAUAACGGCCCGAAGGGUCGCUAAUACCGCAUACGACCACCUUUCGGGUGAGGAAAGCCGUAAGGCGCCGAACGAGGAACCUGCGUCCGAUUAGCUAGUUGGUGGGGUAACGG